rnacentral:rRNA from 1 species
UACGAAGGGUGCAAGCGUUAAUCGGAAUUACUGGGCGUAAAGCGUGCGUAGGUGGUUUCUUAAGUCUGCUGUGAAAGCCCUGGGCUCAACCUGGGAAUGGCGGUGGAUACUGAGGAGCUAGAGUGCGGUAGAGGAGGGUGGAAUUCCCGGUGUAGCGGUGAAAUGCGUAGAGAUUGGAAAGAACACCGAUGGCGAAGGCACUUUACUGGGCUAUUACUAACACUCAGAGACGAAAGCUAGGGUAGCAAAUGGG